rnacentral:miRNA from 1 species
AACUAAGUUUGUUCUUGGUAUGAGCUUUCAUGUGCAUGCACACUUCUUGAGAUAUCAAAGCAUCUGAAGAAGUGUGCAUGCACACAAAAGCUCAUACCAAAAACAACCUUAGUUG